rnacentral:rRNA from 1 species
AACGAACGCUGGCGGCAUGCCUAACACAUGCAAGUCGAACGAGACCUUCGGGUCUAGUGGCGCACGGGUGCGUAACACGUGGGAAUCUGCCCUUUGCUUCGGAAUAACAAUUAGAAAUGACUGCUAAUACCGGAUGAUGUCGAAAGACCAAAGAUUUAUCGGCAAAGGAUGAGCCCGCGUAGGAUUAGGUAGUUGGUGGGGUAAAGGCCUACCAAGCCGACGAUCCUUAGCUGGUCUGAGAGGAUGAUCAGCCACACUGGGACUGAGACACGGCCCAGACUCCUACGGGAGGCAGCAGUGGGGAAUAUUGGACAAUGGGCGAAAGCCUGAUCCAGCAAUGCCGCGUGAGUGAUGAAGGCCUUAGGGUUGUAAAGCUCUUUUACCAGGGAUGAUAAUGACAGUACCUGGAGAAUAAGCUCCGGCUAACUCCGUG